CAAAGUGCUGUUGUUUCAGCUGGAGGUCUGUGAUCCUUCCUGAAAUAGCCAACAUCAACACCAUGACCAGUUUUUAUUCUUGGCAAUGAAUGAGAAAAUACUAUUUGGCAUCUCAAAGAAUUUCUCAGCUGCCUUUCUGUCAUCCCUGAGUCCAAAUUACAACUGUCAAUUAUACAUGAAAGACACGGUGUCCUCUUCCUUGCUCUUCCUCAGAUGACAAUCACAUUGGCAUAUUGCUCGCCCCUCCAACCAGAAGACCAGCAAGUGUUUUUUCUCUCCUGUGAUCUCCCAGAGGCUCCCAGUGGAGCAGUCCAGAGAAACACCAAGAUGGAAACAACUGUCUGAGUUGCCUCUAUCCACAAAAAGCUUCCAUCCUUGUGCUUGUCAAUAGUUAUCUUUUGUCUUUGCAUGUUGCCCAUGCUAUUCCUGGCAUCUCUUCUUUCCUAACCUUUGUGACCCCAGAAGAUGGUUUUUCCAGAUGUAAUUAGAACAGGCGAGCAUAAUCGAUGUGCUUGAGAGACCUGAGCACCUUUCUGCUGUGGUAUAGUAAACAAGGACAAGGGACAAUAGGCUAUGUUGUUCUCUUGGUAGACAAUUAUCAUUUGCUAAUUAUAUUCUAAUAAGCAUGAUCCUUGUAGAAAAGGAUAUCUGUGAUUUCGUUUAAUAAAUGUUCUUGAAACACUGAGGCAAACAGUUUUAGAGUGUACUUGUGUAUGAACUGCAUUUGAAUAGAUUUGUGGUAACAUUGAUUAUACCCGUAUGCACUGUACAAUCAACCACAAAUGAAAUAUGCCGAUGCACACAUGUGCUAGGACUUGAUCUGUCCUCUUCUCCUAGUGUGAUGGUUUAACUAGCUUUUUAAACUCCUCUUUGCCGUGGAACCAUGGUCUGUACAAAAUCCGUAAGGCUUAAAAAAAUUGCAAGGAAUAUAGAACAAUGGCUAAACUAUUCUAGUUCACAUUAGAUGUAAUCUGCUGGUGUGGAUUUAUCUGUCAUCUUAAGCAGGCACUCAGGAGAAGAAUGGUACCCAGAAUAGUUUUCCAACAUGAUUUUAAUUUUAUUCAUAGGGAGAGAUGAUAUAUAUGCAGAUCUUAUAUUUCAGCUACUACUCCACCUCUUUUCAUAUGUGACAUAUCCCACAAUUAUGAAAUAUAAAAUCACAUCAGAACUCACCAAAAUAUUCUUUAUUAAACUUCUUAAGUCCUGAAGUGAAAUCCUUCGCUGACAGCAGACCAUAUUCUGUAUUAAUAAUGGUUUGGAAAUGAUGGUCUUUUACAGUAGCGCAGGCUAGAUA